CUCCUUCACUUCUUCACACACACCCAUUUUAGCGCCCUCUUCUGGUUCUUAAUUGUAUAACACAACACAUUUUCCCUUUUCUUGAAGAACUGUGCAUUAUUUCGUGAUUAUUGGUGGUUAUAUUAUCAGGUCUGGUGGACCUGAUUAUUUGAAAAUCAGGUCCACCAGAAUAUGUAACUUAGGUACCACACAAAUAAACUUAAAUCUCAAGAGCACAUGAAUCAACAGUAAUAUAUCCUGUACGUGUAUUAUAUUUUCUUAGUAUACUAGUAUCACUAGUAUGUAGUAUGUAAUAUGUAGUAGUAUGUACUAUGUAUUUAACUAGUAUGUAGUUAAAGGGAACAGAUCAUGCAAUAUCCAUUUUUUAGACAUUCUGGAGUGUUCCUAUGACUCUUUUGGUCACGUUUACACACACUGAGCACAGUAGAAGUGCACUUCCUCCUUUUUUCACAUUUUGUGCUUUUCUCCAAUGGGGUCAAAGCAAGUGUGGUUCUGAAACCUCCUCACCUUAAAACGUCAUAAGGCGAUGGACUACUCCCAGCAAAACCUGAACCACCGCCCCCAUGAUACCGAACCAAAACUGGACUUCCGCCAUUACAGUAUCACUCACGGUGAACAGACGAACAUGGCGGCAUCCUCUCAUAGAAACCAUAGAAACUGCUCUGCGGUUUGGUGUUUUAAUACACACCAAAACAUAUUCAACCUACCAACAGAUCAACAAUUGAGGACUUUGCGGGUUACUUUUAUUUUAAACGGACCUGCGACGGCAACAAUGCCUCAGCUUUUGCAUAUAUGUGGACUUCACUUCACUUUGCUUCGAGAACGAGGGUGCUACGAGGCAGGGUUUUCUUCACGGCUUCUGAUGAAGAAAGGAUCUGUUCCUACAGUCCGUCAUCCACUGCAGUACGUACAUACUUCACACUUAUUAUGUCUUGUCAGUUUGUCCGUUUAAAAUUUAGUAACCCACGUGUGAGGCAAGUUAAAAGCUACAGCGAGUCGGCCAAGCCUUUGUCCGCUUGAAAUGUGUUGCUGUGGGCUGCUGCAACCACACACCUGUGGAGAGAAGCUAAUGGCUAACGGCCUUUGAGCGGCUGCAGGCAGGGAGCGGUGGAUGGAGCCCAAGCGGUCUGGCUCUACGGUCAGUUGUAAUCGUGUGGUACACGCCUGUGUUUUCUAUAGCCUUUAGCUGUUAGUGCGCCACUAGCUUGCCAUUAUCAGCUACACAGACAACUAAUCGUGCUACUGCCAUGUUGCAGUUACUGCUAACAACUGCAGCCACACAGAGAACUAAGCAGCAAGGUUGCACACGAUUCACCUGGUGGAAUCAUGCAAUUUCACCGCCGCUCCUAUUUAUGUGUUGCAUUAGCUGUUAGCUCGCUGUUCGCAGUUAGCCCUAUGCACUUUAGAGCUACAGCUGGGUGAUGACCACAAUAAGAAAUUGCAGAUGAACGCAGUUAUGUCUGUACAGUAUGUCUGUCUGUCUAUCCCGUCCUGUGUCACAGCCUAAAUCGAUCAAAUUGUAACAUAUUUAGUUGGAAAGGUAACUAUGUUGUGUUGCAAGCUUAGUUGCUUAUUAGUCACGUCUCUACAAUAACUGCUACUUAUCUGGUCAUUUACCUAUAGCUUGUAUAUAUCAUAUUUAUAGGACCAAUACAAUAAUACAAUUUACAGUUAAUGUAAUGCUAUCUUCUAUACUGUAGGAGGGCACAACCUAGUUACUCAAAUGCAAGGAGGCUGUCAAACAGAAAUCACUGCAGAUCACUGGUACACUGACAUCUGCUGCUCAGCUCAGGGGUGAAGUACCUUUUUUGAUGGGGUGAUGGUGACAGCCACAGCUUCCAUCUGGUAGAGCACUGCUUCCGCUCAAAGUUUUCCAAAUGGUGAUGAGAACAAGGAUCACCACAUCUUCCUGGUCAUCUGUCUACAACUAUACCUGUCCUGCUGCUGAAACAAAAAGCAUUUGCUUCUGUAUUGAGGCGUGACGAGCAGCUCCACGACACACCCCUAAACACAGCCUGUUCACUGAGUGUGACUGAAAACUAUGCAUUGACAGAGUCUGUAUGGAUGAUGUACAGGGUUUUAUGGAAUGAAAACUUACAGACACCUUAUUGAGACAUUGAAGUCUGAUAUUCUUUAGAUUGAAAAGCUGUAUGAUCAGAAACCUUUAAAGCAUAAUAUCAGAACAUAAAUCUCCUCUAUCAGGACCCAUUUAUCAGUGCAUAAGUCAGAUUUCCUCUUUAUCUAACAUAAUCUGUUAACCAUCUGGGUGUAUUUCUUGUCCUGUGGCUUCUUCUUGGUCCUAGCGAUUGUGCAUUAUGGUGUGCACCCUUUAGACACCAUGAACCCAUCAAAUGUUGUUCCGACCACCACUCAACAGUUUUUGUGCCACUUUCUUGAAGGGAUACUGGGGACACUGAAAAGUAAGUUGUGUGAUAAAAAUUGGAUACUGUCUUAGCCAAAAUAUGCAAAAACCUUAACUAUUGAUGGUCUGUGUCUAGAGAAAACAAAAAGCGGCUGUAAUAUGUGUUGUGGCUGAAAAUGGUCAAAUCCUACAACACACAGAAUGCGCUAAGACGAGCCUCCCAACCUUCAGUGAUUGGAACAUACCUGACUGCAGGUCGUGUAACUCCUCCAGCUUACAGACAAACGUUGGGACAUUAUUUUAUGUUUUUGACAAAAGGUUAUAUCUUAAGUGUGUUUGAAUAAAGACAUUGGUUCUAAGUCAUUCAGCAGCUUUUUAUUUUGAAUCAAAGCAGACAGUUGUUAGAAAGCCACAGAUUGUUUAAUUAGCCAAAACCUUUUCUCUAUCUGCUGUUAGUGGCGGGAACAACAAGACGGUUGUUGCUUUGACGAUACACGACCGGCUGAUAUUGUCUACAAAAGGAUGAAAUCAAUUACUGAAUUAGUUUUUAGGGUUGCUGCUAGCCAAGCUAACCGCUAACGCUAGGAGCAUAAGCUUGCGCUACUUCUAACAGUACAAAACAUGAGAAGCAGCAGCUCAUAACUGUACUCAAACUGCACAGCUCAAACUAAAGCAAUAAACGGUCGAAUAUAUUACUAACUCAGUGCUCAUUCCAUCGUCCUUAUAGAAGUUUUUCAGACUCAAAAUCCAAUUUGCAAAACAUUUGUUAACUGGCAAUUCAAUAUGCAAUAUCGUUGUUCAAUUUGAAAAUGUAUUUUACAUUUUGCAAUUCCAUAUUAAAAGUGUUAAUUCAAAAGACAGUUUUAUUAUUUAAAAGUUUAAAUAAAACCUUAAUCAAUUGCAUGUUUGUUUGUAGUCUAUUCAAAUGGCAAUACAUUUUGCAAUUGACAAUUCAAUAUGCUAUUUGGUCAUUUCAUUUUAAAAUGCAUUUUGUAAAUGGAAAUGCAUUAUUAAAAUCGUGGCUUGGUGGCUCAGUGGUAGUAGAAUGCUGUAGAGCAUUGGUUUGGGGAGCAGAAUGUACCAGGUUAGGAGCACCAAGCGUGUCCUUGAGUAAGACACUUUGCACUAGCUCCCCAGAGGAUGGGUUAAGUGCGGAAGACCAAUUUUGUUCUUACAUUGUAUGUGAUAAUGACCAAUAAAGGCUUUCUUUCUUUCUUUCUUUUUUUCUUUCUUUCUUUCUUUCUUUCUUUCUUUCUUUCUUUCUUUCUUUC